rnacentral:tRNA from 1 species
GCCGCCGUAGCUCAGCCUGGUUAGAGCGCCGGACUCAUACGGUAAUGUAAAUCUGGGAUAUCCGGUUGUCCGGGGUUCAAAUCCCCGCGGCGGCA